UCCUUCAUGGCUGCUCCCUCUUCCGCCACCACCGCGGUUGCACCAGGAGACCGCUACCUCACCCGUGAGCCCUGCUGCCUACAGUGCUGUCACCGCAGCAGUGGUGCGUUAGUGGCGCCGCUAGCCGGAUCACUCGAGCACGGUGCCGCCACUGGCGGAGAUGCGGAGCUUGCCUUUCCAUCAGCCGCUGCAGCGGACCGCAGCGUAGCGUGGAUCGCGGUGAGGCCGUACAGCUACCUCUUCCGCGCACCGGUGAAGGGUCGAUGGCUGGGCCGCGGCCUUCUGGAGCUCUUCCUGCAGGAGUUUGCCUUCGUGCCGUUCGACACCACUGCUACCGCCAUAACAGCGCCGUUGCCGUUGGCGCAGGAGCUCGCAUCCGCCGACACGACCUCCGGCACUUUCCACUCUGCAGUGGUGCCACUCCUUUUACAACGGCGAGAGGCGUCGAUGCUGCCGUCAAGCACCGCAUCACCGUUGCCCUCGACGCGCAUCAGCGGCGGCGCCACACUCGACCGUCGCUUUACCCUCCCCGCGUACAUCGAGGAGCUGUGCGACGGCAUGCUUUGGCUGCGCGACCGAGAGGCGGAGUGCCGGGCGGUGGGGCGUCGGUACCGAAAGGCGCUCAUCGACGCUGUCGCACGCGCGCGACGCAGCCACCUCAGCGCCUGCAGCACGGAUGGCGGUGUUCGUGAAAGAGGCAACAGUGGUGCGCUUGAAGCGCAGCCGCAUCCGCCGCCGCCGCCGAUGGAGGCACCUCCUCAAGCGACUGAGCCAGCAGCCACGCUAUGCGGGAUACCGAGCAGCGAGACGAGCGCGGCGCCGAGUGAGUGGGCUGCGUGGUGUCGUACAGUUCUGUGGCUGAUGGAGUUGCCCUCCGAGGCCGAAGUCGAUGCGCUGCUGCCGCGCAUGCUGCUGGCCGCAUCCGUGCCGCCGUCCGGAGACAGCACCGUUGCGCAGGUAACUGAUGAAGCAGACACCGCGAGCGCCGCUGCCGUCCAUGCUCCUCCUCCGCCACUUCUCUCGCUUCGGCAGAGGGACGUGGUAUGUCACCGUGUGUGGCGUCGCGAAGGACGCAUGUUUGCGCAUGCGCCGCUGGAGAUCGUCCGCUGCGACGUUGCCUCCGUUUUGCCUGUCUUGUCUCCUGCGGCGCAUUGCAAGGCACCGCUGUCCGCGGCGAAGACGCUUGCCAUGAUGGUGGUAAGUAAGCCGCCAGGGCUGCCGGUGCACCCCUCCGGGUGCUACCGAAAGAAUUCGGUGACGAGCAUCCUUGAAGACGUGCUGGGCGGCGGAGGCGACGGCGAUGCGCGCCGCCUUUACCGCAUCGAGGAGCACUACGCCGGCCCGGCGACGGGCGGUGCGCUCCCGCAUCGGCCGUACGCCUCCGUUGUUCACAAGAAGGGCGGCUUUGAGCUCAUUCGAGUGUGGCUGCGGCGCACUCCGUGCGCAAGGGACGCUAGCGCAGCCGUCGCUGACGGCUCUUCGCCGGUUUCCGCCUCUGCCGAUGAGACUGGCGUGACUGCCGAGGACUGGGCAGUGCUCAAGACACUCUUCAUGCGCGAACGCGAGGCGACGGCGCAACGGCCUCAGCCGAGCAGUCUGCAAGAGGAUGACGAUGCAGAUCGCCACGACGCCAUCGCCGUCGCAGCGGAGACGGGACGGCAUGUGAAGCGCCCGCGCGAAGCCAAAGGCGGCGAUGAGGAUCAAUCGUGGGCCGCCAAUGCCCACCAGGAUACCACCACAAAGGUGAUGCGCGCAUCGAGCGGCGACGCCGCAGCUGCUGUCCCGCCCUCGUACACGAUGAAGGCCUUCGUCGUGCAUCGACUCGACGCGGCCACCAGCGGUGUACUGCUCUUUGGGUUGAACAGCCACACGGCGCGGCGCACGGCGGCGGCCAUUGCGAAUAAGUCUCUCCAGGGCGACGGCGGCGGCGACGACGACGACAAGCCCUCUCAUGGCAGUGCCGGUGGGGGAAAUGACACGCGUGAAGGCGCUGGCUCGGAGGCCCCGCCUCUGCCAUUACCGGCGUCGUCGUCGCGCAAGGUCUAUUGCGCGCGAGUGCACGGUCGGGUACAUCUCGAGAGCCUCGCACGCGAGCAGCAUCAUUGCAUCCUUCACACCCCAUCGCCACUGACGCAACGCACGAGCGAUGGGCUCGGGGCACCUGACGCUGCUGGUGCGAGCGCUGACGCGAGCAGCGCGACACGACACAGCGCUGCCGUCGAGCUCCUUGUCUGUCGGCCUAUCGGGUGCUUGGAUCACCACAACAGCCUGUACUGGUCGCCGGAUGCCGCCGUCACAGACUCGUGGCAGCGGCACCAGGCAGACAUCGAACAACAGCAACAGCAGGCAGCCGAGCUGCGCAGCAGCUCGCUCUCGGGCGGGCGAGGCGAGACAGGGCGCACGCCAGAGGCCGUUGCGGCUAAGCACAAACGCAUGCGUCAGCUUACGCGAGGUGGCGGGACGGCCUCGGUAGGCGCGUUGGCUGCAGCUCUGCAAGCUGUGAGCGGCGCUGGGGCAGCUCAACCGGCGCGAGGGACUUCGACGGCUCUUUCAGAUAGCUCCAGGCGUGUGCAGCAGUACUUGGAGACGCUUCGCUCGGCCAAAACGGCGUUACAGGUGAUGCACUACGACGCAGCGACCGAUCAGACAGUGGUGAAGUGCACCCUAGGCACAGGUCGCACGCAUCAGCUACGCGUCCAUCUUGCCUCUCUCGGACAUCCAAUUGUGCACGACAGCAAGUACAUCGCCUUGGAGGUGCACAUGCGCAACUUGGCCAAAGACGGCAAACACGGCCUGGUAGAGAGCGGCGAGGCGACCGCGGCGACCGGCGUCCCCCGCACACCUCUCGCUUCGGAAGCUUCGCUGACUCGCUUCUACGAAAGCCGUAAUGUUGCCGCCAGCUCGGAGGUUGGUGGCAGCGCUGCCGCAGCUGGUGCUGCGAUGGGGGGAAGGUGGCAGUCGGAGGUCUUUGCAGAGAGCAGAAAUGCGCGCGGCUGCGUAUGCCCGGAGGCCAUCGAUCUGCACGCUUGGCAGUAUACGCUCGCUUACGACGACGGCGAGCUUGUUUCAGUGGAAGUGCCGCUGCCCUCGUGGGCGCAUUGAAACAGGCGUUGAUGAUCUGUAGUGGGCCCGUCUUGGUUCGCCGGCAACACGCGGGCGCGUACGCCGCUCGUCAGCGCCUUCUGCCGCUGUCGCUGCGGCUGGUUGCCAUGCCGGCUAGCGCAGUGGUCAUGGCGUCGAGUAGGAAGGCUCUUCUCACAGCUGCCUACAACCCUUAUCACCGU
rnacentral:misc_RNA from 1 species